GGCCUCGUGGUCUAGUGGUAUGAUUCUCGCUUCGGGUGCGAGAGGUCCCGGGUUCGAUUUCCGGGUGAGGCCC
rnacentral:tRNA from 1 species